GGGCCAGUAGGUUGGUCGUGCCACCGGUACGUACUGGUCUCACUGAUUCCUCCUUCCUGAAGAACCGUAAUGCCAUUAAUUUGGUGUUGCGGGGAAACAGGACUGUUACUUUGAAAAAAUUAGAGUGUUUAACGCAAGCUAACGCUUGAAUACAUUAGCAUGGAAUAAUGAAAUAGGACGAUCGAUCCUAUUUUGUUGGUUUCUAGGAUUGACGUA
rnacentral:rRNA from 1 species